GAUGAACGCUAGCGACAGGCCUAACACAUGCAAGUCGAGGGGCAGCACAUGCGUAGCAAUACAAUGGUGGCGACCGGCGCACGGGUGAGUAACACGUAUGCAACCUACCUGUAAGAGGGGAAUAACCCGGAGAAAUUCGGACUAACACCGCAUAAUACCGAUUAACUGCAUGGUUGAUCGGUUAAAUAUUUAUAGCUUACAGAUGGGCAUGCGUAACAUUAGAUAGUUGGUGAGGUAACGGCUCACCAAGUCAACGAUGUUUAGGGGUUCUGAGAGGAAGGUCCCCCACACUGGUACUGAGACACGGACCAGACUCCGACGGGAGGCAGCAGUGAGGAAUAUUGGUCAAGGGGCGAGAGCCUGAACCAGCCAAGUCGCGUGAAGGAAGAAGGUUCUAUGGAUUGUAAACUUCUUUUGUAAGGGAAUAAAAAAGCUUACGUGUAGGCUAUUGUAUGUACUUUACGAAUAAGGAUCGGCUAACUCCGUGCCAGCCGCCGCGGUAA
rnacentral:rRNA from 1 species